rnacentral:tRNA from 1 species
AAUUAAUGAACUUGUUAAAGUGUAUAUUUUGAAAAUAUAAAAAAGAAUAUAAAUAAAAUUCUAUUAAUUU